AAGUCGUAACAAGGUUUCCGUAGGUGAACCUGCGGAAGGAUCAUUAAUGAAAGAUAAAGAGAUCUGUGGAGAUGUGCUUUAAAGUCACCUUUGGAGCCAUCGCAAGCAGAUUCUCUAUCUAUCACACCCCUCUGUGAACCUUUGCACAAGCUGGUACUGGUCUCUGACCUGGAAGGCUUGUGACUUCUACAUAACCUUAUAAAUAAGUCUUAGAAUGAACCUUGCGUAUUAUCGCAUCUAAUACAACUUUCAGCAACGGAUCUCUUGGCUCUC
rnacentral:misc_RNA from 1 species